rnacentral:lncRNA from 1 species
UGCUGUGGAGAAUGGGGGUCACAUGGAAUCCACACAUGGAAGGACAUAGGCAUUGCAUGCAGGUAUCCGGAAUCAUUGAUAUUGGUCUUAAAAUUUGGAAGUUUCCGCUUUUGCUAAGACUGCCAUUUAUAAUGAGCCCUACGGAGAGGCCAUGUGGCAAGAAGCUGAGGCUGCCAGAGAGAACCUUCCAGCAACCACAUACAUGAAUUUGGAAGUUAAUUCUUCAGCUUCCUUUGAGUCUUGAGGUAGCUACAGCCUGGCCAGAACUUGACUAAACUUCAUGAGGGACACUGAGCCAGAAACACCUAACUAAGCAAAUUCUGGUUUUAUGA